UACGUAGGGUGCAAGCGUUAAUCGGAAUUACUGGGCGUAAAGCGUGCGCAGGCGGUUCUAUAAGACAGAAUGUGAAAUCCCCGGGCUCAACCUGGGAACUGCAUUUGUGACUGUAGAGCUGGAGUGCGGCAGAGGGGGAUGGAAUUCCGCGUGUAGCAGUGAAAUGCGUAGAUAUGCGGAGGAACACCGAUGGCGAAGGCAAUCCCCUGGGCCUGCACUGACGCUCAUGCACGAAAGCGUGGGGAGCAAACAGG
rnacentral:rRNA from 1 species